UUUUCAGAAUAAUUUUGUUAUUAAAAAAAUUGACAGAUGUCUGUUAGUUUCAGUAUCACUACUUUAAACACAAAGAUGUGGUACUUUAUCGUUACAUACAAAUUGUAUUUAAUUAACACUAAAUUUGUACAAAAAAAGUCAUCAAUAAACAUUUUUGUGCUGAAUUGUACGAAAAUUUUUUUUACUGUGUAUUGAGAAUAAAGAGAAUCCACAGCUUUAUAUUACAUUAUUUUAUAGUGUUAUCUUGUGCUGUAAAGUUGAGUUGGAGCAUGGCACAGCCACCGGCGAAGAUUCAUCAACGCCAUCGCAUAUACAUGGCACCAACGAGGUAACCAACGAGAUGCAUUUUAUCCAUACUAUAUUCGCUAUCGCGAACAUUUCAUUAUCUAUCUAAAGAUCUAACAUAAUGGUCUAAUGGUAUUUAUACCUGGGAUGAUAAAAACAGUAGCCAGAGUAUCAAUAUACCAAAUAGAAAUUGUUUUUACGUUUCACGGAGAAUUGUAAUUGAAUAUUCAACAUCGGACGGAAAAAUACUGUCAGCGCACCAUUCAAUGAGAAUAAUGAUCAUGAAAAAAUGGUUUUUUAAAGGCAUGUAAGUAAGCGAAAACACUAAUUAAUUGCGCAACAAAAUAAAACUGUCAGUUGACAAACAAGCGGACAAAUUUUUUCCAGAUAAAAAACUUCAUUUUGACAGCACUUAAUUCAAGCUCCAUGGCCCCGGGUGAGUAAAUAACUUUUUAUUAUUUAACGAGACGUGUGAUGUAUUUUUAAUAGACAAUAAAUGUGAUUAAUAAUUGUAAAUAUAAACUUAUAUGUCAUAAGACUGGACGGCACGUGCGGCGCCGGGACCGUGUCGAGGAAUAAGUGCGCACGCGAGACCCCGAAUGAAGAACGAGAGAGUCGGCGAUCCGUCCUCUAAGGCUACCGCAACAAGAAUGAUAGUAGUUAGGCGUGGGAGAUGCCGAGCAAUAUAUAUGGUGUGUGCAUAGACAUAUAUAUAUAUAUAUGUAUAUACACAUAUGUUAUGUAUAUGCCUGGACCUCUACUCUGUUUACAGGAGCAUAGAUCAAGAUCCAAGGGUCGGAUCAGUGUUAAAAGUAGAAUUAAACUGACACGUAAAGGAGUGAAGAAAUACGGCAGUACGGAUGUAUAAUAGGAAAUACGAGCGAAGACAAGAGUCAAUCGUGAUGGAUAGUAGACCACACGCAUUAUUUGUCACACUGACAUACAAUAUACAUGGAUUAAUGUUCAAUCAUGUUUAAAAGAUUCAUCUUUUCUUAAUACUUAAUGCCAAAGGGACGGCUUUUGGUGGACAUUCUCAAACGUCAUGACCGUGACAUUGGGGAGACCCAGACAUAACAGACACCCCAACAAUUCGGUUUGGAAAAUUAGCAUGUGAUGUUCAGAAGCUGCAAGAAAAAAUUACUCUGGCCGGUUUACUUUGUAAAAACUGCAGGAGGUCUUGCUCCCUUUGACGAAAAUAAUAUAAUAAGAUUUUGAAUUUUACACUUAGAGUAAUUAAAAGUAUUGAGUAUUGUCAAGAGGGCGUGUAAUUUCCUGUUUCUAAAAAUACGAAUAUUUAAACAAGUUGCCAAAAAAGGAGUAGAGAUCAUUUUUGUCUUUACAAGAAAAUUAUGACAUUGGAAUCAACAGAUAUCUUACAAUUUUUUAGAUUUUUGUAACAAUUAAAUUAUAAUGAAAACAAUUAAGUAAAAAAUUCCACAUGUAG